AUCCUGAAUUGGGAAAUGAAAACCGAGAAGGAACCAAUUGUGAAUUAUGUGAGAUUAUUGCUUUUGGGGAGAUUUAAAUCUAAUAAUAACAGUUGCACAAAAUAAUUUCUUUACCUCCAAACAUUUUGAUAGUUCAUAGGAUACAAUACAAGGAAUUGUCUGCGUCUGAGAACCUUUCUUUCAGGUUCAUCAUACAUUACAAGAAAGCUAGAGUAAACACUUCAUACAUAGUCUACUACUAUAAACAGUAUAUAAAUUACAGGAACCAAAAAGAAUCCAUUAGAAAAUAUAAUAAAAAAAAGAAUUGUGGGAAAUGUUGUGGUGGCAAGUGGGACCCCCUCAAUUUUGAGGGCACUGAUGAAAGCUAGCGCAAAUAAGGCCCUUUCAAUAAUAUCUUAUAGCCACAACUCUACGUUUACGCAAGUUUUUAUUAUUAUCUUUGUCGCCCCACGGCCUGCAUUCAGAUAUCGUGAUCACCAUACAUCGCGCAAAUACCUGCCAGUUGUUUGUAGAUUCUUUACCAUGCUCUCGGCCUGGGAACUAUCCAGAGAACCCUGAUAUACAAGAAAACUUGAUUAGGACACAGACUCGUCGGUAUCUUAUGGAAAAGCAAAAUUCAUUAUAUUCACACAAGACAAAUCCCUCUGGGUAACAAAGAUAUUUGGUAUUAUGUCCACCGCUUCAAACCCAAUAAAAAAAAUCGCAACUUGUAGAAGCAGCUAUUAAUAGAAGACACCAAAUUCGCAAUCACCAAUGGCAUCAAUUCAAGGGAAUUCAAGACUUCUUAUAUAAAAAAAUGUACCUGCUCUUGCAAAAUCGUGUGCAGGGCGCGGUGCACAUCCCUAGCCAUGCCCUUGGCAUCACCGCACACAUAUAUGUAAGCUCCCUGAGAUACCAUACUCCAAAUUUCGGAAGCCUGGCACAUGAACCGUUGAGUAAGAGAAGGCACACAUCUUUGGUUCGUAAUUAAUUAAUCGUUCAAUAGAAAAGUACCUUCUCCAUCAUUUUAUGUUGCACAUAUUCCUUGGUGGGUCCCUCCCGUGAAAAGGCAACUAUGAGUUCAGAAAGUGCGCCAGUAUUAAUGAAGUGAUUCAACUCGUCUUCGUAGAUGUAGUCCUUUAAUAAGAUUAUUAAAAAAAUAUUGGUAAGAUGAUCUAAAUUAUAUUUAACUCAUAAAUCUGCAUGAUAGAUAGCAUAACAUAACUCACCAUUUUACUGUUCCUGCACCCAAAGAAUAAAACAGAGGGGCCAAGUUCAGCUCCUUCUUCUUUCAGAGCUAAUCUUUCCUGAGGUGUAUAUAAAAAACCAACUAAAUGAUUGGAAUAGAUAGAUGGAUGGAAAAAAGAAUUAGGAGGUAAAAUGUCAAGUAGAUUAUAUACCUGCAGGAAACCCCUGAAAGGAGCCAACCCGGUGCCAGGACCAAUCAUGAUUAUAGGCACUUUAUUAUCAGCAGGUAGUCUAAAGUUGGACGUCCUAACAAAGAUAGGAGCCCAACUGCAGUCCGUGCUUUUCUCCAAUGGCACAGAAUUCUGGACAUCAAACCAAGUGGUAAGUUUUUUUUUUUUUUUUUUUUUAAUGGAGAAAUAAACACUUUAGCUUAGUCACAGAAACAAACAGUUGCCAAUCUUAAAUAGUUUAACCAUAAUCAAUGAAACAAAUAUAAGUACCUUCAUCCACGUAGAACACACUCCUUUGUGAAUCCUUCCGGUGGGCAUUUUAUCACAUACUAAUGCACAAGUAACAUGAAUUCUGUUUGGCGCCAUUCUGUUAACAAUUACAGCAAACAGCCAAACUGUAAGUACGAGAACAUAGUUUCUAUGAUAUCCUGACUGAGGAAGUAAAGAGAAUAGAAAACUACAUUGGCAGUUUUGAGACCAAUGAAAACGGGCGCAGACUUAAUGUAAGGGAAAUUCAGGAUUAAAACGGUUGGCUAAGAAAUCAUGACACCACAAGACAUUGCAAAAUUGGUUGCUAAACAUCCUCACAGGACACAUACAUGCCUACACAUAUAGAGACAGUAAUACAAUGCAAUGAAAAUAAAUUUACCUUGGAGAUGACGAGAUUGAAUAAAAUCUUGGCUGCAGACGAGGAGCAACUGCCGCAAAAAAGACACCAAUUGGAGGUUUGGCUGAUGGAAAUUCAGCCAUGACCUCAAGGAGACUUCUCUGAGAGGCAGUCACCCACUCUGAAUAUUCGUCCUACAAAAGCAGAAAAAAUUAGUAUACAAAUGAGAAACAUAAGUAGAAAUAGUUACUUUAAAUCCCCAUGGUAUAAAAUAAAAUACAUAUAUAUAUAUAUAUAUAUAUUAAACCUUUCCGGCAGGUGAGGCAAGAUGCCUUAGACGAUCAGCUUCAGAUGGAUCAGAUGCAUGAGCAGCUAAGGCAAGCAAGACAGACUGGAAAUAUAUAUUCAAAGAAUUAUUAACUGUUAGAUAAAGUGAAUCUCUCGAGAAGAUAAAGAGAUAUGGUUGAAAUUAAGGGUGUAUCAAACCCAAAACAAGUACCUUUUUGGGUGAACUCAAAACAUCCGCAUAUCGUGCAAUUGCAGUUCUUAGAGUACAAGGUGGGAAUGGAGGUGGCAAGGAGCUUCCGCUAAGUGGUUUCCCAUCUUCAUCAUCAGCAUGGAUAGAGAAAUAGGUAUCUGGUGACAAACCUAUUAACCUUAAUGCGUCUUCCACAGUUUCAGACAAAUUCUCACAGUAAACACCAACAUGGUCCCCUGUUUCAUAUCUGCGUAAUGAAACAGGCAUAAGAACAUGGAAAAUGUAGGAAAUUAUAUAAACAAGUGUGUAUCACCGCAGGUUUAUUCUCACAAGCAAAUACUUACGCAACUCCAGUUCCUGAAAUCUCAAAUUCCAAAUGAGUACAAGAUCGAUCAGAUGCAGGAGUGUGAAGCUCCUUACGCACAGCCACAUUUGCCCUGCACACGCAUAGGAAUUUAUGUCAGUCAGAUUAUAAGGCCUAACUUGUUUGCAACUGAAUAACUAUCUUAAUGUACCUGACUGGAUGUUGAGCAUCCACAACGGCGUGACCAUUUACAUUAUGCCACUUCUUUUCAUCAACAGACGCUUCUAAUGGAUCAUGAAUAACAACCCGAUACUCCAAAACAGCAGCAGUAUAAGGCGUAGAGACAGUUGUAUCAUCCUCAUCUCUAAGCAGUUGGUCCAAUGCUGGCCACAGUUCUUCUUUCCUGCAAUAGUAGUCAUAUUUAGGGGAGGAGAAAGACUAUAAAAAUAUGUUCGUGCACCAAUAUAUUCAAGUCAACUUGAUUAUUUCAAUACCAUGCAGUAAAGUCGUCCUCAAUACAUUGAUCAUCGUCUCCAAGACCCACUCGCAAAAGACGAUUCCCUCCUUCAGUGGCAAAAGACAGGUCAGUUCAUAUGCAUUGUGAAAAAAAUAACAUAAUUCAUAAUCAUAGUGAAAAAAAUAACAUAAUUAUAAUCAUAGUGAAAAAAAUAAAAAUAAAUAACAUAAAUUUGACAACUAUAAUAUAAUUAAGCUAGUAAUGCGUGAACUUUCCUGUGUAGAGUAUUUAUUUAUAUGAAUAGUGUUAAAUGACAACCCAAGCAGAAAUCAAAUUCAUUAAAAAAGUUACCCACUUAUGUUCAACACUUCAUUUAGUGCGUUAAUUUAAUUACCAUUGAAUCCUAACACAAAGGUACUUAUCAACCAGCAAAGUUUAAUUAUCAGCGGAAUUCUUAUUAAGUAUACAGAUUUGGGAUUGCAAUCCCUUGUCAAGUUUGAUGAUCACGUGAAGAGAAAAAAAUAGAGAAAAUAAAGUGUGUUAGGAUUGCGGAGCCCUAUAAUUUAAUACACCUAUUACGUUUGAAUAUCUUCGAAAAUAAUUCACCAGUGAGAUCUUCAUGUGAAAUCCAGAUCCAAGAGUAAUAUUCAUAUAAAAAAUAAGGCAAGGGGAGAGAUUGCGCAAUGCCCAUGCAAUUACAGUGUUAACUUUUUAAGAAUUUCAACCUUUGGAAAACGAUACACAGAAGCGCAGAAUACGAAAUUGUUGAAAACCAUGUGUGUUUAUAAAGAAAUUUUUUUCCAUUAUUUAAAACGUCAAUAGCCAACAACACUGAUUGCACAGCUUUACCAAUCAAAUUUAAAUCUGCCAAUUAACAUGGAAAUUCAUCGAGGACUGAUAGAGAUAAAGUAGAAUGAAGAGUAUACCUUGCUCAGCAAACAAUUCAUCCACUUCUAUAGCCACCUGCGUUAAAUUCCCACAGCAACCAGCAACUCCGUGGUUAAAAUCAAAUUGAAACCUCAGGAAAAAAAAAAAGUGUAGCAAUUAAGUGCAAACCUUGUUAAAAUGCUCAUACUGCCUGUUUCCGAGGCCAAACACACCAUAGUGAAGAUUCUUAAGCCACCCUUCUCCUU
rnacentral:lncRNA from 1 species